CCGCAGCGCUCAUGACGGGGCAGAAGGAGGAGCUCCAGGUCCUCGCUGAGGCCCUUCAAGCCCUGAGCGAAUACAAGUGCCCCUCCUUCAUAAACCAGUUUGUCAAGCUGACCUUCGACACAUGAUCUGCCGAACUGCGCCUGCAGGAUGAGAAGAACCAGCGUCCUUUGGCCACCCCCAGUUCCCACUGAAGAUGGGAGCACCUGCAGAGCAGAGGGGACCAGCUGCAGCUCCAGGCCCAGCUCUUGCUGCUCACAGCUGAGCCUCUGGCAAGCUCCAGGAGCUCCUGCCUUCUUGCUCCCUGUUUGCAGCUCCCUCCCUCCAGCCCCCUGACCCUGCCAAUCCCCCGUUUUCCCUCCCAAUUCACCCCUUCACUUUGCCUUCCCUUAAUAAACAUUUUGGCUAUUUCACUUAA